rnacentral:rRNA from 1 species
UACAGAGGUCUCAAGCGUUGUUCGGAUUCAUUGGGCGUAAAGGGUGCGUAGGCGGCGCGGUAAGUCGGGUGUGAAAUCUCGGAGCUUAACUCCGAAACUGCAUUCGAUACUGCCGUGCUUGAGGACUGGAGAGGAGACUGGAAUUUACGGUGUAGCGGUGAAAUGCGUAGAUAUCGGGAGGAACACCAGUGGCGAAGGCGGCUCACUGGCCCGAUACUGACGCUGACGGCACGAAAGCGUGGGGAGCAAACCGGG